UUGUGUCUCUUUCUCACUCUUGUUCUCUCUCUUUCACGCCGACUCGCUCUCGAGGGCAAAUGAGUGGUGCGCUGAGCCGGAGCUCUUACUGGGACAGGUGCCAAUUGCAAACAAAAGAAAUUAACAGGCAAUAAGCGAAAAAAAAGGGGGGGGGAAGCGAAUUGUCGAAUUGCAAGUUGUUGAGAUGUCACCAGUAGCUGUGCACGUUACGUCGCCGCAUGACCGGUUUGCAUUAUUGUUGCGUUACGUUAUCAAGUAUUAAAGUAAAACAGAGGUUUGAAUACUUUGCUUCACUUAUUCCAGUGAAGGCAUUUCACUUGAGAAGAGGGAGGGAGUAAUGUGAGAGAGAAGCAUAUAGACUUGUGAAUUAUUCAUGUGCUCAGCCAAGGCUGAGACUGGACUGGUUGUGCUAUUUGCAUGCAUCAGACAUGCUGUUUGUCUGUUUGCUAACAUUCCUCAUUCAAAGACUUGUUAACUAGCAGCCGGGCUUAGCUGGAGUCUCGCAGACAGCCUCAUGGCCUCCUAUUGUUUCAGGCCUCACCGGGCCUGGACCCAGCUGGUGGCAGGCAAGCCAUGCAGCCCUGAGCUUUGGGUUGAGACUGUGGUUGAAGGAGGGAUUUGUGCCUGGAGGUGAGACUGACGUGGGCACUGAGGCUGGAGCUGAGGCUGAGGCACGGCUGUGAACGGGACAUUCUGAGGGAAAUCACGGGGUUAUGCAAGAAGCACCAAACUGGAGCUUAUGGCUUUCUCCUCUUCUUGACAGAGAUGUGGAUCAAAGCGGGAAGAGCUUCCGAACCUCACCGGACAUUUAGCGUCUUUGCUCUGGUAACUGGCAGUGAGACAGUUUUGAUCUCCAAGCGCAAACAGUUUUGGCCAGAGAGAGAAAUUAUGCAAACACACACUGGCGAUUAAGUAACAGAUUUUCCCUCUUGGGUUUUUCCACAUGGAGACUACCUGACAUGCUGCUGAAACCAUGAUGGAGGGAGGAGGUUAUAGGCCAGUGGGCCCUUCCAGCCCCUUUUCUCGAUGCAUGUUAUAUAGCAGAUUCUGUAGAGGCUGUCUGAAGAGCUGAUGGAGAGCAGACCCAACAAACAAGUGUCCAAUUUGUAUGAGAAGAUCUUCGAGGGAAGAUCCAGCUCGUAAUCUGGCUUUAAAGAACCUGUGUGAGGACAGGGCAGUGAGGACAGGGCCCAGUAGAGGACGUCGGGCCCUUGGGCCACUCUCAUCAAGGCAUCUAUUGUUAACUUCAUGAACACCAAAGGAGCAGAAACUGAUCAACAACCCCCUCAACUGACCAGAUCAACACCCCAUCGGUUCAACUAACUUCUUUCUUUUUUUUUUCUUCUUUUUUUUUGA